ACGAACGCUGGCGGCGUGCUUAACCCAUGCAAGUCGAACGGAAAGGCCCUGCUUUUGUGGGGUGCUCGAGUGGCGAACGGGUGAGUAACACGUGAGUAACCUGCCCUUGACUUUGGGAUAACUUCAGGAAACUGGGGCUAAUACCGGAUAGGAGCUCCUGCUGCAUGGUGGGGGUUGGAAAGUUUCGGCGGUUGGGGAUGGACUCGCGGCUUAUCAGCUUGUUGGUGGGGUAGUGGCUUACCAAGGCUUUGACGGGUAGCCGGCCUGAGAGGGUGACCGGCCACAUUGGGACUGAGAUACGGCCCAGACUCCUACGGGAGGCAGCAGUGGGGAAUAUUGCACAAUGGGCGGAAGCCUGAUGCAGCAACGCCGCGUGCGGGAUGGCGGCCUUCGGGUUGUAAACCGCUUUCGCCUGUGACGAAGCGUGAGUGACGGUAAUGGGUAAAGAAGCACCGGCUAACUACGUG
rnacentral:rRNA from 1 species